GACUAAAUAGAUAUUAUCGAAAGAGAUGAGAAAAGUCUAGGGGAGAAAAGAGAGACUCUGAGAAAGAUCUACAGGGAAGGAGAGAAUUGGGAGAAGUGGAGCAUGACCAUGGAGUAAUAAGAGACCUUAGAAGCUAAAGUAGAGGAAAGCAAAAGAGAAAGAGAUGGGGUUUUGGUAAAAGCCCUUCAUGCAUUACAACUUUGAUCACUUUCACUUUCUUACACUUCUAAUCUCACCAUAAGUUCCAAAACCCACUGCUUGAACUUUCAUCAUCCCUCAACCCUCACAGUUCACCACCUACAAGCACAAUCUGAAAAAGAGGAUAAAAGCAGUACCCAUGAUUAUGAAGUCGGACUUGCUAUCGAAAACUUUGAAGAAUGGAAUCUGGGAAUGGUGAUACGGUUUCAGUGGGACAACAUUAGGAGA